AGGAGCCCCACAGAGGGACGCCACGUGGCCACCCCAGACCCCGGGCCCCGGGUACAACUGGACAUGAGCAGCCGCAGCAUGCCGCCUAUUGAGGAGCCCAACCCCGCCAGCAUGCCAGCCCCCAGGUGCAGGGCUCAAAGUCCUGGCUGGUCUGGAACAUGUGUGUCUACGUUGGCCUUCAGUGCUCAGACGGAUGACAGUUCCUCAUGAGGAAGUCUCUACGGUCCGAUGUCCUGUCCUGUCAUCCCCACAAGGAGGCACCAGCUUAGCAGAAACAUCUGCUGCUGUCACCUGAGAGGCCAAGUGAAGUGGAAAGUGGACCACAGCCCACGUGGGACAAGAGCCCUGGUCUGGCUACAGCCCUGGCUCAACUGUUAAGAGUGCUUACUGCUCUUGCAGAGGUCCUGAGUUUGGUUCCCAGCCCCACGGCAGUGGCUCUCAGCUGCCUGUAACUCCAGCUCCAGGGAAUUAGGUGCCUCUUCUGCCUCCUCAAGC